UACAGAGGUCCCAAGCGUUUGUUCGGAUUCACUGGGCGUAAAGAGCGCGCAGGCGGUCGUUCAAGUCGCGUGUGAAAGCCCCCCGGCUUAACUGGGGAGGGUCACGCGAUACUGAUCGACUCGAAGGCAGGAGAGGGAAGUGGAAUUCCCGGUGUAGUGGUGAAAUGCGUAGAUAUCGGGAGGAACACCAGUGGCGAAGGCGACUUCCUGGCCUGUUCUUGACGCUGAGGCGCGAAAGCUAGGGGAGCAAACGGG
rnacentral:rRNA from 1 species